rnacentral:rRNA from 1 species
ACUCCUACGGGAGGCAGCAGUGGGGAAUAUUGCACAAUGGGGGAAACCCUGAUGCAGCCAUGCCGCGUGUGUGAAGAAGGCCUUCGGGUUGUAAAGCACUUUCAGUAGGGAGGAAGGUAGUGUAGUUAACACCUGCACUAUUUGACGUUACCUACAGAAGAAGCACCGGCUAACUCCGUGCCAGCAGCCGCGGUAAUACGGAGGGUGCGAGCGUUAAUCGGAAUUACUGGGCGUAAAGCGCAUGCAGGCGGCCUGUUAAGUCAGAUGUGAAAGCCCGGGGCUUAACCUCGGAAUUGCAUUUGAAACUGGCAGGCUAGAGUCUUGUAGAGGGGGGUAGAAUUUCAGGUGUAGCGGUGAAAUGCGUAGAGAUCUGAAGGAAUACCAGUGGCGAAGGCGGCCCCCUGGACAAAGACUGACGCUCAGAUGCGAAAGCGUGGGGAGCAAAACAGGAUUAGAUACCCUGGUAAGGAUAGCG